rnacentral:rRNA from 1 species
UUUGAUCCUGUAGCUCAGAUUGAACGCUUAUGGAUGUUUACACAUGCAAGCCGAACGGCAGCACGGACUUAUCUGUGGCGAGUGGCGAGAACGGGUGAGUAAUUGCUGUAUCGGGGAACGUGCCUAGUAGUGGGGGAUAACCAUGCAAAGCGCAGCUAAUACUGCAGCGCCCUUCGGGGAAAGCGGGGGACCUUCGGCCCCUGCACUAUUAGGAGCGGCCGAUAUCGGAUUAGGCUGGGUUGGUGGGGUAAACGGGGUUUCACUGGCGGCGACGAUCCGUAGCUGGUUUGAGAGGACGACCAGCCACACUGGGACUGAGUAUUACGGCCCAGACUCUGUACGGAGGCAGCAGUGGGGAAUCUGGACAGCCGGGGAAACCUCUGAUCCACGAUCCUGGGCGUGCGAUGAAGGCCUUCAAGUGCCAGGAAGACUUUUGGCAGGAAGAAAACGGCACGGGAUAAUACCCUGCGCAACUGAUACCGGUACCAGAAUAAGCAUCACAAUCCGGCCAGCCAGCAGCCGUAAUACGUAGGGUGCAAGCGUUAAUUCGGAAUUACUGGCGUAAGCGUGCGCAGGCGGUCUGGAAAGAAAGAUGUGAAAUCCCAGAGCUUAACUUUGAACUGCAUUUUUAAUCAUCGAGCUAGAGUGUGUCAGGGAGGGAGAAUCGGCGUGUAGCAGUGAAAUGCGUAGAUAUGCGGAGGAACACCGAUGGCGAAGGCACUCCUUCGGGAUAACAUCGACGCUCAUGCACGAAAGCGGAGCAACAGGAUUAGAUACCCUGGUAGUCCACGCCCUAAAACGAUGUCAAAUUAGCUGUUGGGGCCUUCGGGCCUUGGUAGCGCAGCUAACGCGUGGCUGACCGCCGGGGAGUGCAUGGUUGCAAGAUUAAAACUCAAAGGAAUUGACGGGGACCCGCACGCAUGGUGGAUGAUGUGGAUUAAUCUGAUGCAACGCGAAAACUCACUCUACCCUUGACACGUCUGGAAUCCUGAAGAGAUUUGGGAGUGCUCGCAAGAGAACCGGAACACAGGUGCUGCAUGGCUGUCGUCAGCUCGUGUCGUGAGAGAUGUUGGGUUAAGUCCCAACGAGCGCAACCCUUGUCAUUAGUUGCUACGAAAGGGCACUCUAAUGAGACUGCCGGUGACAAACCGGAGGAAGGUGGGGAUGACGUCAAGUCCUCAUGGCCCUUGCAGGGUAGGCUUCACACGUCAUACAAUGGUCGGGACAGGGUCGCCAACCCGCGAGGGGAGCCAAUCCCAGAAACCCGAUCGUAGUCCGGAUCGCAGUCUGCACUCGACUGCGUGAAGUCGGAAUCGCUAGUAAUCGCGGAUCAGCAUGUCGCGGUGAAUACGUUCUUCUGGUCUUGGUACAUGACUGCCCGUCACACCAUGGGAGUGGGUUUUACCAGAAGUAGUUAGCCUAAACCGUGAGGGCGAUUACCACUAUAGGAUUCAUGACUGGGGUGAAGUCGUAACAAGGCAG